GGGUGUGGAGAGGAGGUGUUUGGUGGUAGGAUGGGAGAAGGUGGUACCUGUGGUGUAGGGUAACUUAUUGGGGCGUGGAGAGGAGGUGUUUGGUGGUAGGAUGGGAGAAGGUGGUACCUGUGGUGUAGGGUAACUUAUUGGGGCG